AGCCCAGCUUGCUGGGUGGAUUAGUGGCGAACGGGUGAGUAACACGUGAGCAACCUGCCCCUGACUCUGGGAUAACAGCCGGAAACGGUUGCUAAUACCGGAUAUGCAUCAUGGCCGCAUGGUCUGUGGUGGGAAAGAUUUUUCGGUUGGGGAUGGGCUCGCGGCCUAUCAGCUUGUUGGUGAGGUAGUGGCUCACCAAGGCGUCGACGGGUAGCCGGCCUGAGAGGGUGACCGGCCACACUGGGACUGAGACACGGCCCAGACUCCUACGGGAGGCAGCAGUGGGGAAUAUUGCACAAUGGGCGGAAGCCUGAUGCAGCAACGCCGCGUGAGGGAUGACGGCCUUCGGGUUGUAAACCUCUUUUAGCAGGGAAGAAGCGAAAGUGACGGUACCUGCAGAAAAAGCGCCGGCUAACUACGUGCCAGCAGCCGCGGUAAUACGUAGGGCGCAAGCGUUAUCCGGAAUUAUUGGGCGUAAAGAGCUCGUAGGCGGUUUGUCGCGUCUGCUGUGAAAACCCGAGGCUCAACCUCGGGCCUGCAGUGGGUACGGGCAGACUAGAGUGCGGUAGGGGAGAUUGGAAUUCCUGGUGUAGCGGUGGAAUGCGCAGAUAUCAGGAGGAACACCGAUGGCGAAGGCAGAUCUCUGGGCCGUUACUGACGCUGAGGAGCGAAAGGGUGGGGAGCAAACAGGCUUAGAUACCCUGGUAGUCCACCCCGUAAACGUUGGGAACUAGUUGUGGGGGCCUUUCCACGGUCUCCGUGACGCAGCUAACGCAUUAAGUUCCCCGCCUGGGGAGUACGGCCGCAAGGCU
rnacentral:rRNA from 1 species